GGUCUUGGUGAGACCACACCUGGAGUAUUGCGUACAGUUUUGGUCUCCAAAUCUGAGGAAGGACAUUAUUGCCAUAGAGGGAAUUCUGCGUAGGUUCACCCGGUUAGUUCUCUGGGAUGGCGGGACUGUCAUAUGCUGAGAGAAUGGAGCGGCUGGGCUUGUACACUCUGGAGUUUAGAAGGA